UACGUAGGGGGCAAGCGUUUGUCCGGAUUUAUUGGGCGUAAAGAGCGUGUAGGCGGUUUGGUAGGUCCGUUGUGAAAACUCGAGGCUCAACCUCGAGACGCCGAUGGAAACCAUCAGACUAGAGUCCGGAAGAGGAGAGUGGAAUUCCUGGUGUAGCGGUGAAAUGCGCAGAUAUCAGGAGGAACACCGGUGGCGAAGGCGGGUCUCUGGGCCGAUACUGACGCUGAGAAGCGAAAGCAUGGGGAGCGAACAGG
rnacentral:rRNA from 1 species